rnacentral:tRNA from 1 species
GAAAGGUGGCCGAGUGGUUGAAGGCACUGGUCUUGAAAACCAGAGACGGAAACGUCCGCAGGUUCGAAUCCUGUCCUUUCC